rnacentral:rRNA from 1 species
UGGGGAAUAUUGGACAAUGGGCGAAAGCCUGAUCCAGCAAUGCCGCGUGGGUGAAGAAGGCCUGCGGGUUGUAAAGCCCUUUCAGUGGGGAGGAAGAGGUGAGUGCGAAUAGUGCUUGCUGAUGACGUUACCCACAGAAGAAGCACCGGCUAACUCCGUGCCAGCAGCCGCGGUAAUACGGAGGGUGCGAGCGUUAAUCGGAAUUACUGGGCGUAAAGCGCGCGUAGGCGGCGCGAUAAGUCAGAUGUGAAAGCCCCGGGCUUAACCUGGGAAUGGCAUUUGAUACUGUAGAGCUAGAGUGUGACAGAGGAUCGAGGAAUUCCCGGUGUAGCGGUGAAAUGCGUAGAGAUCGGGAGGAACACCAAUGGCGAAGGCAACGGUCUGGGUCAACACUGACGCUGAGGUGCGAAAGCGUGGGGAGCAAACAGGAUUAGAUACCCCCGUAGUCC